GAUGAACGCUGGCGGCGUGCCUAAUACAUGCGAGUCGAGCGAACGGACGAGAAGCUUGCUUCUCUGAUGUUAGCGGCGGACGGGUGAGUAACACGUGGAUAACCUACCUAUAAGACUGGGAUAACUUCGGGAAACCGGAGCUAAUACCGGAUGAUAUUUUGAACCGCAUGGUUCAAAAGUGAAAGACGGUCUUGCUGUCACUUAUAGAUGGAUCCGCGCUGCAUUAGCUAGUUGGUAAGGUAACGGCUUACCAAGGCAACGAUGCAUAGCCGACCUGAGAGGGUGAUCGGCCACACUGGAACUGAGACACGGUCCAGACUCCUACGGGAGGCAGCAGUAGGGAAUCUUCCGCAAUGGGCGAAAGCCUGACGGAGCAACGCCGCGUGAGCGAUGAAGGUCUUCGGAUCGUAAAACUCUGUUAUUAGGGAAGAACAUAUGUGUAAGUAACUGUGCACAUCUUGACGGUACCUAAUCAGAAAGCCACGGCUAACUACGUG
rnacentral:rRNA from 1 species